AGUGAACGCUGGCGGUAGGCCUAACACAUGCAAGUCGAACGGCAGCACAGUAAGAGCUUGCUCUUACGGGUGGCGAGUGGCGGACGGGUGAGGAAUACAUCGGAAUCUACUUUUUCGUGGGGGAUAACGUAGGGAAACUUACGCUAAUACCGCAUACGACCUACGGGUGAAAGCAGGGGAUCUUCGGACCUUGCGCGAUUGAAUGAGCCGAUGUCGGAUUAGCUAGUUGGCGGGGUAAAGGCCCACCAAGGCGACGAUCCGUAGCUGGUCUGAGAGGAUGAUCAGCCACACUGGAACUGAGACACGGUCCAGACUCCUACGGGAGGCAGCAGUGGGGAAUAUUGGACAAUGGGCGCAAGCCUGAUCCAGCCAUACCGCGUGGGUGAAGAAGGCCUUCGGGUUGUAAAGCCCUUUUGUUGGGAAAGAGAAGCAGCAGGUUAAUACCCCGCUGUUCUGACGGUACCCAGAGAAUAAGCACCGGCUAACUUCGUG
rnacentral:rRNA from 1 species